rnacentral:rRNA from 1 species
AGAUUGAACGCUGGCGGCAGGCCUAACACAUGCAAGUCGAGCGGUAGAGAGGUGCUUGCAUCUCUUGAGAGCGGCGGACGGGUGAGUAAUGCCUAGGAAUCUGCCUAGUGGUGGGGGAUAACGUUCGGAAACGGACGCUAAUACCGCAUACGUCCUACGGGAGAAAGCGGGGGACCUUCGGGCCUCGCGCCAUUAGAUGAGCCUAGGUCGGAUUAGCUAGUUGG